UACGUAGGGGGCAAGCGUUGUCCGGAAUCAUUGGGCGUAAAGCGCGCGUAGGCGGCCCGGUAAGUCCGCUCUGAAAGUCCAGGGCUCAACCCUGGAAAGCGGGUGGAUACUGCCGGGCUAGAAUCCGGAAGAGGCGAGUGGAAUUCCUGGUGUAGCGGUGAAAUGCGUAGAGAUCGGGAGGAACAUCAGUGGCGAAGGCGGCCAUCUGGGACAACACUGACGCUGAGGCACGAAAGCGUGGGGAGCAAACAGGG
rnacentral:rRNA from 1 species